UACGUAGGGUGCGAGCGUUGUCCGGAAUUAUUGGGCGUAAAGGGCUCGUAGGCGGUUUGUCGCGUCGGGAGUGAAAACUCAGGGCUUAACCCUGAGCCUGCUUCCGAUACGGGCAGACUAGAGGUAUGCAGGGGAGAACGGAAUUCCUGGUGUAGCGGUGAAAUGCGCAGAUAUCAGGAGGAACACCGGUGGCGAAGGCGGGUCUCUGGGCAGUAACUGACGCUGAGGCGCGACAGCGUGGGGAGCAAACGGG
rnacentral:rRNA from 1 species